GGGACUCUAAAGAAGGGUUCCCGAUCCAGUUGCUCUCUCGGCUGCCUGAUCCGGCAGAGAGGAGAGCGGAUCCAUCUCAAGACCAGAUCUGGGGAUCCACGACAGGAGAGCGGAGAGAACAGAAGGCGGGACGGAACCGAUCUCUCCUCACUUUCCUUUGGACAGCAAGGGAAUAAGCUAAUUCCAAAUUGCUCCAACAUUUCCAAGGCCUGAAGCAUCUCAUCCAGGACGAUUCGUCUCAUCUACCCCCCUGGAGCUGAGAAGCCACAACCUGCUCCAUGAAUUUGCACAAUAAUGAGAUAUUAGAGACUGGCUGGGAAUUAUUCAGUACUAUGGAAUCCAAGGGGGUAUUUUUUCAAUAAUGGUCUUACUACUGCCUCCUUCAAGCAAACUAUGUUGUAUGACUAUAAUGGAAAAUCUUAACGAUGAUAUUAAUUGGGAAGGAAAUUAUUAGAAUGAAAGAAUGGGUAAAGAAGAUGAAUGA